ensembl:snRNA U6 U6 spliceosomal RNA
GUGCUCGCUUUGGCAGCACAUAUACUACAAAAAAUUGGAACAAGGCAGAAAAGAUUAGCAUGGUCCUUGAGCAAAGAGGACGCUCAAAUUUCUGAAGCUUUCCAUGAGAAA